rnacentral:rRNA from 1 species
GUGGGGAAUUUUGGACAAUGGGCGCAAGCCUGAUCCAGCAAUGCCGCGUGCAGGAAGAAGGCCUUCGGGUUGUAAACUGCUUUUGUACGGAACGAAACGGUCCUGGUUAAUACCUGGGGCUAAUGACGGUACCGUAAGAAUAAGCACCGGCUAACUACGUGCCAGCAGCCGCGGUAAUACGUAGGGUGCAAGCGUUAAUCGGAAUUACUGGGCGUAAAGCGUGCGCAGGCGGUUUUGUAAGACAGGCGUGAAAUCCCCGGGCUCAACCUGGGAAUUGGGCUUGGGACUGCAAGGCUGGAGUGCGGCAGAGGGGGAUGGAAUUCCGCGUGUAGCAGUGAAAUGCGUAGAUAUGCGGAGGAACACCGAUGGCGAAGGCAAUCCCCUGGGCCUGCACUGACGCUCAUGCACGAAAGCGUGGGGAGCAAACAGGAUUAGAUACCCUAGUAGUCC